rnacentral:lncRNA from 1 species
UCCAUUAUUCAAGCCGAAGCCCAAAUUAACGAAAGCCCAACUACCCUGGCCCAUUAACCUAAAUCCAAAAAAACCUAGCAGAAAAAUUUCCAAACCCUAGCGUCGCACUAGGGUCUUUCACCCACUUGCAUCUGCCGCCGCCGUCAAUCACCUCAGCCACCUGCCCUCUGACUCGCGCCACUCGCCCAUCACCCCACUUGCCUGAAAAGAAGAAAAUCACGCAAAGCACAGUGGCAAACAGAGAAAAAGAAAAAAGAAGACUAAAAUAGCAUGUAAAAUUGGC